rnacentral:rRNA from 1 species
CUACGGGGGGCUCCAGUGAGGAAUUUUGGACAAUGGGGGAAACCCUGAUCCAGCGACGCCGCGUGAAGGACGAAGGUCUUCGGAUUGUAAACUUCUUUUGUUGGGGAACAACGAGCUUGUAGAGAUACAGGAAAUGAGUGUACCCAAUGAAUAAGCCACGGCUAACUUCGUGCCAGCAGCCGCGGUAAUACGAAGGUGGCAAGCGUUACUCGGAAUGACUAGGCGUAAAGGGCAGGUAGGUGGUUUGGUAAGUCUGUUGUGAAAGCUCCUGGCUUAACUGGGAGAGGCCAACAGAUACUGUCAGACUUGAGUAUAGGAGAGGUAUCUGGAAUAUCUGGUGUAGCGGUGAAAUGCGCAGAGAUCAGAUGGAACACCAAUGGCGAAAGCAAGAUACUGGACUAUUACUGACACUCAGCUGCGAAAGCUAGGGGAGCAAACAGGAUUAGAUACCCGCGUAGUC